rnacentral:rRNA from 1 species
GUGUUCUUACGGGGGGCAGCAGUGAGGAAUAUUGGUCAAUGGCCGAGAGGCUGAACCAGCCAAGUCGCGUGAGGGAAGACGGCCCUACGGGUUGUAAACCUCUUUUGUCGGGGAGCAAAGCGAGUCACGUGUGACUCAUUGAGAGUACCCGAAGAAAAAGCAUCGGCUAACUCCGUGCCAGCAGCCGCGGUAAUACGUAGGGUGCGAGCGUUAAUCGGAAUUACUGGGCGUAAAGGGUGUGCAGGCGGUUUUGCCAGAUGG